UCUCCAUGCUGAGUUAGGUCAACAAAAAUUGGGCCACCAUUGCAACUUCUCAUUGUGGUCGGGGGGAGAAAGGAAACUAUUACACCACCUUACAUCCCAGCUAGCACGGUCAUGUUUUCAAUAGACUUCGUUUUGUACGCUUUUAUAAAACUUUACUUUACAAUUAUUCUAACUUCUAUGCAGUAUACUGUAUAAGGCGACUUUCUGCAUGGAUAGCAGAUUUCCCCCAUUUUUUGUUUGACAAGGGCACGGUUCGAUCUCAGUCUAAUUCAUCUCCUGCAACUGCAUCUCGUCACCAUCUUUUGUGUCCUGAAAAUCAAAGCAAAAAUAGUAGCUGGAUUCUGCGUCGAAUCUAUAGGGAGAAUGUGGGAGGGAAAACGUUCUCUAAAUCAAACCUUCAGACUUUUAAGACAAGGGAAGUC